GACGAACGCUGGCGGCGUGCUUAACACAUGCAAGUCGAACGGUGAAGCGCCUUCCUUUUUGGUGGGUGUGGAUGAGUGGCGAACGGGUGAGUAACACGUGAGUAACCUGCCCCCUUCUUCUGGAUAACCGCAUGAAAGUGUGGCUAAUACGGGAUAUUCUGGGUCUGUCGCAUGAUGGGUCUGGGAAAGAUCUUGUUUCGGUGGGGGAUGGGCUCGCGGCCUAUCAGCUUGUUGGUGGGGUGAUGGCCUACCAAGGCGGUGACGGGUAGCCGGCCUGAGAGGGUGGACGGUCACACUGGGACGGAGACACGGCCCAGACUACUACGGGAGGCAGCAGUGGGGAAUAUUGCACAAUGGGCGCAAGCCUGAUGCAGCGACGCCGCGUGAGGGAUGGAGGCCUGCGGGUUGUGAACCUCUUUCACCAGUGAAGCAGGCCUGCCUCGUUUGUGGGUGGGUUGACGGUAGCUGGAUAAGAAGCGCCGGCUAACUACGUG
rnacentral:rRNA from 1 species